UCUUGACUAGUAUAUCGGUUCAGUACACCCGCUUGUCAUGGGCAUCUGAUCCUUGUGAGCGCGGGAGAGCAGGGUUCGACUCCCUGGUCGAGAG